UCGCAGUCACGUAGGCGGAAGGCCAAGAAACGGUUGACAGACUCCAUUUUGUUCAAGGUUCUAGCAGUCCCCAACACACUUACUUCAUUCUGGCUAAUAAUGUAGUAAGGUUAAAGAAAUUAGUGAGUUAUUUCCUGAAAAAAGAAGGCUGAAAUAAUGUCAUUUUAAGUUAGGGACUUAAAGAUCAUUAUUUAUAUCUAUGUUUUGACUUGUAUAGCAGUUAAAAAUGUUCCUGACAGUAAUAGUUAUACAGUAUAUUCUGAUCACAGUUUCCCAUGCCCUAUCUGCUCCCUAUCUCUCCACCCAUCCAACUCCAUGCAUUCUUUCUCUUCCCCCAACUCUCUCUUUAGAAAGCAAACAGGUAAGUAGAAAAGAAAAUAAACAACAACAACAAUAAUAAAUCAAAAAAUCACAGAGGAUAUAUUCCAAGACACACGGGCACACAGUACACAUACAAACACACACACACCAUUAAAAUGCAAAAUUGAAAACCGUAAUAUAAAAGCAAAAGACUGGCAAGAACACACACACACACAAAAAUGCCCAAACAAAUUAACAUGAGACAAAGAAAGUCCACAAAAACACCACUGAGUUCUUUUCGUGUUGUUUGUUGACUGCCGGGCACAGGGCCUGCCCUUAAGAGUGAGACUGUUAGAGAAAACGGAUUUUUCCUUUGCAAGCAGUUGUCAAGUGGAGAGAGCUUCUUGGGUGGGGAUGGGAGCUCAUGCCCACAUCCCCACUUCAGUGCGGGGACUCUAUGUGUAGGGCCUGUGUGUGCUGUCUGAGUCUCUGUUAGCUCAUCCUGUGUGCAUCCAUUCCAUUGUGCUUGGAAUACAGUGUUCUUGCUGUCAUCCAUCCCCUCUGGCUCUUACAACCUGUCUGUCUACUCUUCUACAUAGCUUUCUGAGCCCCGAGAGGAGGAGCUUGAUGAAGCUUGGGACCGAGUGUUCCAAAGCUUCUCACUCUCUGCACGUUAUCCGGUUGUCCCCACCAAGUUGAAUGGGAGUGAUGAGAGAGUGGGAGAACAGAUGCAUGGUUUCAGUUAUGUGACAUGUCUGCCCCCAUUUUGUGUUGUGCGUACAAUACCCACCGGCGCUCUGACUUUGGUUUCUCUCUAAAGCAGUUUCAUUGGUGAAUCGUCUUUGUGUGUUAAAAUCUUAUUUUCUGACUAGAGCUUAUCUCUGUCCACUGCAGGGUGAAUCCUUAAGCUUCCUGACUCGAAACCUCCUCAGGCAGAAUGAAAACACCUUGUGCUCUCUGUUCCACUGUAGCAUUUUCAAGAGAAGUGAGAAAAAAUGUGGGAGGAAGUUGAAUCCACAAAUCACUCCCCUGAGGUCGUACUGAUUUGACACACUCAGGCAACUUCUUCCAGACACUGGUGUCAGAUGGUUUCUGAUAGUUUGGACUGGGAGAUAAGAGAGAAGGGAAGAUGUUCACAGUCUUUCCCUCCGUGUCCGUGGUAUCCUCAGCAGUCACAUUAUCUCUUCCAUCGGUCCAGCCUCACCAACCCUAUCUGCGAUUUUACCUUCUGAGUGAUCCUUCUCAUUGCCUUCUACAACAGCCUCUUCUUCCUUUCGUUAAUUAGUCUGUGGGCUUCUUAUCUGAAGUUUGGUUUCUCAAGUUCUUUGUCAACCUCAUACAGUGUCCUAUAUUAAAAUCAUUUGACAGAUUUGUUUCUGGUUUGGACUUACUUUUUAAAAGUACCCAUUGAGUACAAUUUCCCAGGGUUACAUAUUUCUUGGGGAGGGGUUGGAAGGAAGCUAAGAUAAAUCAAAACUAUUGCUUGCAUGUUGCAAAAGUUAAAAAAUAUCUUUUCCCUCAGUUAUACUAAACAGUUUAGCAGAUUCAUUUUUCUUUCUAAUUGAGUAAUGUUUUGGAUUCAUGUUGGUGUAAUUGAAUCCCACAAUCACUGUCUCUCCUACAGUUGCUGAGAAAGUCUACUCAAAGCACAUAAUUUGGAACUGAGUGAUUACUUGGAUGUCUACAACUGUCUGGGAGGACAUUUUGGCUUCCAUCAUGCCACUAGACAUACUGCACAUAAAAAUGGAUAGUACAGUGUUGACUGUCUAAAAUAUUUGGAAUUGUGAUUUCACUGGAAGUGAGUCAAGAAGAACGAAGGCGAAGGGAGGAAAGAGAGAGAGAGAGGAAAAAGGCCACUUUGAAACAUGGAUAAUUUGAAGCCAGGCUCCACUGCAAACUGCCUUGAGAUGACUGAAUGCUCUCAUCUGGAAUUCACCAAUCAAAACGUCCAGGGCUUUAUGGAUUUCACCACAGUCCUUUCCAACUGCUUUGAAAUAUCAUGGCUAUUAGAUUCUGUAUGUUAAAAUCCAUUUGGUUUAGAACUUUAAAAAGCAGACAUAUAAAUACUUGAAAAAAUCCA